GACGAACGCUGGCGGCGUGCUUAACACAUGCAAGUCGAACGCUGAAGCUCAGCUUUUGUUGGGUGGAUGAGUGGCGAACGGGUGAGUAACACGCGAGUAACCUGCCUCCUUCUUUGGGAUAACGCCCGGAAACGGGUGCUAAUACUGGAUAUUCACUGGUCUUCGCAUGGGGGUUGGUGGAAAGGGUUUUUCUGGUGGGGGAUGGGCUCGCGGCCUAUCAGCUUGUUGGUGGGGUGAUGGCCUACCAAGGCUUUGACGGGUAGCCGGCCUGAGAGGGUGACCGGUCACAUUGGGACUGAGAUACGGCCCAGACUCCUACGGGAGGCAGCAGUGGGGAAUAUUGCACAAUGGGCGCAAGCCUGAUGCAGCGACGCCGCGUGAGGGAUGGAGGCCUUCGGGUUGUGAACCUCUUUCGCUCAUGGUCAAGCCGCAACAAUGGUUGUGGUGAGGGUAGUGGGUAAAGAAGCGCCGGCUAACUACGUG
rnacentral:rRNA from 1 species